ensembl:lncRNA
UUGCAAGAAAAUUCUCUGAAUUUUUUGUUUGUCUUUUGAUGUUUGCAGAUACUGCUCUAAUUUUACUUUCAUCAUGCACUACAGGACAAUGAAGUGUUGCAUCUCCCUACCAAAGAAAACAUGCCAAAGAUAUGCUGUUUACCAAAGUCUUCUGAAGUUUGUGAGACUGAAAUCACAAGGGAUUCAGUAGCUGUGUUUUCAACUGUUUGAGAAUUUUUGCAAUUAACUUCUCAACGUAUGGGUGGAGGACAGGAGGGAAGUAAUCCUGUUGUCUUAGCUGCCAGCAUGUACAUCUUAACAAACUUUUUUGCCUUUCUGUGGAGUCCCUUCUGAGCAGCUUGCCUCUUUGGCUGGCAGCUGCGACAGUCGGGCUCCCCUGCAGGUGCGCUUGUUAAAGACACCGAAAUCCCAAGGUGGCAGCUGCCGAAAUGAGCGGCUGUUUCUGCUAACUCGUCCUUUCGCAGCUAGCCUUCCUCCCAGCCGCUGCGGGGCAGGAGUCAAGCGUUGGCGGUACAUCCUGAAAAAUACUGCAUGCUGGUGAGCUCCGAAAGAGCAGAGGGUACGACCCUAGCUGUCUGCGUUGCAUCGGCGGUGUUUGCAGGACGCCUGGUUUCCAUUUAAACACCCUCGCAGUGGCUCGUGCGGCCCGUCGCCUUGCCCGUGGCAGCGGCCGUUAGCUGGGCCACCAGCCUGGAGGUUCUCAGAGCUCUGUGAAUGGGUGAGCUUUGGCCACAGCUAUUUGACUGAAAUUUUGGGCAAGCUCCCUGUGUGAAAGACCGCAUAGGAAGAGCCUUCUAGAUGUGUGGUUGCUGUACAUGAAGAGCCUUUGGGACAUAUUUGGGAAUGCAAUGAACAACAGACCUGGAGAACCAGCAUCACAGAAACUGAGGUUAACAAGAUCUUGGAGCUUCACGACCAAGGGCUUGGUACCUCAUGGUCGCAUGGUCCAACUGAAAAGCACUGGGACAUCUUGCUCUCUGGACACCACCACUGCACAAAGCCCCUGCCAGGUUCCCAGGACCAUCCGUACAGCUGCGGGGCUGGCUCUUCCUCCACCGUAAUUCUGGGUUGCACCUGACCUGUAGGAGAAACCUUUCAGCUAAAAACUUGGAUGUGGCCCUAGGCGUCAAGAAGCAAGCAUGCUGCUCCAGAACUACGAUACGGAUAAAGCAUGGACACGAGGGAGAGCCACGUGGCUGUCCAGUAGAGCUUCCAACAGUCGUGUCAAGUGAUAAUCACUGCAGCCUGACACAAUGAGGUAGCUGUGGCUUGGAACAGGGGAGGGAACAUGGAGUCUUGCCUUUUAGGGUUUGUUGCUUCCCUUUUGCUGUACAAGGUGUCGCAGAGAGCUCUGAAGCUGGAUUCGCUGCUGCUGAACUCCUUAUGAAGUCAAUGGAGUUGCUAUUCCACCUCUCCGCUUGCUUAAAGUGUGUGUUGUAGAUCUCCCUUCACCCAUUCAUUCAUUUCUUCCCUUUUAAUGAGUAGGUUAAAUUUCUUGUGUGGUACAGCAAGCAUUUGAGAUGUGAAGGUUCCUUUUCCUCAUCUCCCUCUUAUUGAAGGUGGCUUUGCUCCCAGUAACUCCUGUCAUGACAUAAUUGGACCUUAUUCUCACAUAAAUACCAGAGUUAGAGUUACUGUUGUUGGGUUUUUCCAUUAUUUUGGGUGGCUGAUAUUUUUCACAUUCCUAUUCUCUUCUUAACGCAAAGCUGACUACAUUUACUAGGUUUGUUUGCCUUCCUCAGAAGGACUUGAAUAUUAGUCCUCAACUUGUCUGUGUAUCUCUACUUUUCUUACUCUCCCCUUUCAUUGAUUUAUGACACAUGUGGAGGCCAAGAGGCAGUACAGGACAUGAAUCAUAUAAAAAGAAUGCAGACAUUUCAUUUGCGUAAGUUAAUUGUUUUAUUUUUACCUGUCCCUUGUGUUUCUGCAAUCCUAUGGGUGGUGUCUUAGAAAAAUACAGAUAGUAGACUGGACCACUGCCAAGUGCUGCAAGUAUCACAUGCUUUGCAAAAGGUUGCAACAUCUUAGUGGGAAUGAUUAUCUUCACAGUAGAGAUGGUAA